rnacentral:misc_RNA from 1 species
GAUGAAGAACGCAGCGAAAUGCGAUAAGUAAUGUGAAUUGCAGAAUUCAGUGAAUCAUCGAAUCUUGAACGCACCUUGCGCCCUUUGGCCAUUCCGAAGGGCAUGCCUGUUUGAGUAUCAUGAACACCUCAACUCUUUAUGGUUUUCCAUGAUGAGCUUGGACUCUGGGGGUUUUGCUGGCUCACAGUCGGCUCCUCUAAAAUAAAUCAGCUUACCAGUGUUUGGUGGGUAUCAUGGGUGUGAUAACUAUCUACGCCUGUGGUUUUCUGCCAGAUAACCUUCAGCGAUGGAGGUUCGCUGGGGCUCAUAAAUGUCUCUCUUCAGUGGAGACAGCUAUUUGGACGUUUGAUCUCAAAUCAGGUAGGACUACCCGCUGAACUUAAGCAUAUCAAUAAGCGGAGGA